rnacentral:rRNA from 1 species
GGGCCCGCACAAGCGGUGGAGCAUGUGGUUUAAUUCGACGCAACGCGAAGAACCUUACCUGGGCUCGAAAUGUACAGGAAUCCGGUGGAAACAUCGGCGCCCAGCAAUGGGCCUGUAUAUAGGUGCUGCAUGGCUGUCGUCAGCUCGUGUCGUGAGAUGUUGGGUUAAGUCCCGCAACGAGCGCAACCCUUACCCCCAGUUGCCACCAUUCAGUUGGGCACUCUGGUGGAACCGCCUCGGAUAACGGGGAGGAAGGUGGGGAUGACGUCAAGUCCUCAUGGCCUUUAUGUCCAGGGCUACACACGUGCUACAAUGGCCGGUACAAACCGUCGCAAACCCGCGAGGGGGAGCUAAUCGGAAAAAGCCGGCCUCAGUUCGGAUCGCAGUCUGCAACUCGACUGCGUGAAGCUGGAAUCGCUAGUAAUCGCGGAUCAGAAUGCCGCGGUGAAUACGUUCCCGGGCCUU